CGUAGAGAGUAUUAUAUUCCUUGUACUUAACAUUCCAGAGGCGCACUUUUUGUAUUUGUUUAUUCUCUUUUAAAAAUAAUUAAUAAAAUUAACGUAACUUUACCAACGUUUUAUAAGUUUGGAUGUAUCUAUCAAAUACGUCCACGCCGUCAUUUGACUGACAGUAUCCCGAUGACACUUAUCUCCUUCACAAUAGCAGCCUCAACUAGAAAGAGAGUAGUCUCGCAAAGAUUUGUUGCCACUGAAGAGCACCGAGUAGAGACAGAACAAAUUUUGAUAGAGAAUCAGACAACACUAGUUCAUAUCUUAUAGCUAAUGAAUGAGAUAUGACUAAAUUAAAGUCAGCCAUUGUACGAUUUAAUUAAAAAUUUUUUAAAAAAUGUCAAAUAAUUUUUAUUCAAUUAAAUUUAAAAUAUUAUAAAUGGUAAUUCUUUAUGAUUCUACCAUCCAUUGUGAAGAAGGGGAGAAACCUCAAUUUUGGUUUUUAAAAUACUAAUAGAUUUUACAAUAAUACAUUUCUAAAAAUAUACACUGCCAAACAUAACAAGAGUUAUUGGAAUUAUUAGUUAAAUCAAGUUCAUUAUUGAAAAUAUAAGAUUAAAUUAUGUCAUUUAAUAGUCAUUAGUAAUUUUGAAAUAUAAGUUUCAUCUUAUAUAAUUUUCAAAUAAAAACACAAUUACAAUAAAAUUUUAUAAUUAUAAACUUGUUUCAAUUUCAAAUAAAUAAUUUUUAAUGAA